rnacentral:rRNA from 1 species
UACGUAGGGUGCGAGCGUUGUCCGGAAUUAUUGGGCGUAAAGGGCUCGUAGGCGGUUUGUCGCGUCUGCCGUGAAAGUCCGGGGCUCAACUCCCGGAUCUGCGGUGGGUACGGGCAGACUAGAGUGAUGUAGGGGAGACUGGAAUUCCGUCGGUGUAGCGGUGAAAUGCGCAGAUAUUGAGCAGGAACACCGGUGGCGAAGGCGGCGUG